AAGAUUAAUUUAUAGACUUCUAAUCUAUUAAAUAAUGAUAUUCAUUUAAUCUUU
rnacentral:tRNA from 1 species